AUUGCGUUUCCUUAUUCUCUGAUAAAAUCGAACUCAAUUCCUUCUAGAUUUGUUGUUUUCCAGAUCGUCUACAUCUUGCUUCACAUAAUGAUUUCAAUGGGAAAAACGAUUUCUUUCUCCGAAAAAACGAUAUAACAAAUCGGAAUCCACAGAAAUCAGUUCAUCCUCUACAUAUCUUCUUCCAUCAUCGCUUGUUUCCUGCUUCAGAAAACUAUUUCAAAAAAAAAAAAGACGAUUUCAAAGAAAGAAACGACUUCUUUCACAGAAAAAACGAAAUAACAAAUGCGAAUUCACAUGAAGAAAUUUCAAGUCAUAGAAAUCGGCUACUGCAUCCCCUUUUUUUUAGGUUUGGGAGAUUUACUUGAAGUCUGAUUCGUGCAGUGGAAGAUUGUUGAUGUUUAUCAGGUGAUUUUGGUGUAACUACUACAUCUUUUGGAGUCUGAUUGGAGACUUGGACAGUUUUACCCUAGAGAUUGUUGAUUUGAUUUUUAAUAAUUGUUGCAUUUGGUUUACUAUUUGGUUGUCGGGAUUUUUUAAGGGCCUUAACUUUUUCUGCUUUCUUUUGUUGGUGGACCUUGGGUUGUGGUUUGUUGGUUGUUUCUGGUUGCUAAUGAGUUUGAUUGGUACAUUUGAAAUGGUUGAAACAUUUGAUGUGGAUUUGUUGGAUCUUUUAGUAUUUUUCUCUUUA